rnacentral:rRNA from 1 species
GACGAACGCUGGCGGCGUGCUUAACACAUGCAAGUCGAACGGUAAGGCUCCAGCUUGCUGGGGUACACGAGUGGCGAACGGGUGAGUAACACGUGGGUGACCUGCCCUGCACUUCGGGAUAAGCCUGGGAAACUGGGUCUAGUACCGGAUAGGACCAUGGUGUGGAUACUGUGGUGGAAAGUUUUUUCGGUGUGGGAUGGGCCCGCGGCCUAUCAGCUUGUUGGUGGGGUAAUGGCCUACCAAGGCGGCGACGGGUAGCCGGCCUGAGAGGGUGGACGGCCACAUUGGGACUGAGACACGGCCCAGACUCCUACGGGAGGCAGCAGUGGGGAAUAUUGCACAAUGGGCGGAAGCCUGAUGCAGCGACGCCGCGUGGGGGAUGACGGCCUUCGGGUUGUAAACUCCUUUCACCAUCGACGAAGGGUUUCUGACGGUAGAUGGAGAAGAAGCACCGGCUAACUACGUG